GUGACUGGUUCUUUUUCUUUUUUUCUUUUUUUUUUUUUUUUUUUUUUUUUUUUUUUAGUUUGAGACUGUUUCCCUUUUCUAUAUUGGCUGGACUGAGGUGUGGGGAUAAGGUUCACUGCACAUAGGAAGCUAAAUCCCCUUUUCUCUGACUUGUCAGGUAGCUUGGAGAAGGAUGAAGGAUGUGCCCAGCUCCGCGAUUCACAACUUCUUCCAAAAGAUUAAAAAGUAAAAAGAAGGGGGUUGUGCUUUACCCCUGCCCUUCUUCCCUCUCCACAUCUACAGAGCAACAGUUGACUCGGUCAGCUGCGACUGUACUGCAAAGCUGUGAAAAAAUAUUCCAUUGGGCAGACUUGGUUUGAGGGUCUGCACAUCCAGAAUACCUGGACGUGAAACACGGUACUUCCCUGAACGGCUCCCAAGGCAACGGCUCCCUGUCCAGUUCCAGCUGGACUGGUGGGUGCUCCACUGGUCACCAGUGUCUGAGUGACCCCAGGCGUGGUGUGGUGGUGGUGGCAAUGCCACCAGGAGUGUAGGAGGAGCAGGGCAUGGUCACUGCUUGGUCAUGCAGGGUCAGGUAGACCUAAGACGGGUUUCUCUCCACACCUUUGCUGAUGCAUUUAUCUGUUUUUCAGAAAUAAAAGGUAGCUGCUGCUUGGAGCUUUCCAUGGCAUACAUCUAAUAAAUCAAUUAACCUGCGCCCCUUCCUGUAACUUGAGCUGCUACUUUGGGCCGGGUUGGGGAGGAAAUAUCCCAUGGAUCACUUGGCUUGUUGCACCUGACUCCGGCCUCUCCCGCUGCUGCUGUGCAGUCUCACUGGGUCUGUCGGGAAUCUCCAGGUUUUCCCGGCCCAGCUGCUCCUGGCUGGGCCAGGGGGGAGCUCUGUGCCAGAGGGAGCAGUUCAGCCGGAGUGGGCAGCACAAUCCCUGCUGAAUGUGCCCCUGUCAGUGCCUUUGGAAAAUGAAAAGGCUGGGAUUUUCAGAGGAGUCCGAUCCCGGCAGGGUUUGAGCAUCUGAAUUCCUCAGUCUCCUUGGCAAACCCUGGCUCACAUCCCUGUGUUAGAGAGAGAGGGGUUGGCUGGUGACACUGUUAAACUGCAAGGGGCUUUCUCUGCAGAGGAACAUCAUCUCCCAUUUAGCCUUUUUUUUUAAGGAAAAAACCCCAAACUUCACUGCAAAAGGCAGUGCUCUUUGGUGGUUUUUUUCUGACUGGUUUUGAGAACUGGUGACCAGAACCCCGUUGUCUGGAUCCUCCUGUCGCCCUCCCAUUGCACCAGCUGUUGAGAUGCACUAUGCUUGAUUGCAGAUUGUGUUCUAACGUUUAUUUUGUUGUUGGUUUUUUGGUUUUUUUGGUAAACAGUUGUUGCCUUUAUUUGUAAAAUCCUGUUAUAAAUAUAUAUAUAUAUUAUAUAAAUAUAUUAAAAGGUAAAACGUUUCAGAUGUUUAUUAUUUGUAUAACUACUUGAGCAUAAAGAAGUGAGAAAUAUGAAUGUAUUCUUGUUUCUGGGUUGUCUUUUUUUUUUUUUUUUUGAAGAGAAGAAUAUUCCGUUUUUCUCUCGGGAGAGGUACAGUGUUUAUAUUUUGGAGUUGCCUUCAAGGUGGGAUAUUGUACAUAUUUUUAUCUUGAGUAAAUGUUAAGUAGUUGUUUAAAAAUGCUUAAUAAAAUAAUUCUUUUCCUGUGGAA